rnacentral:rRNA from 1 species
CAGCCGUAAACUAUGCGCGUUAGGUGUACUGGUGACCACGAGUCACCGGGGUGCCGAAGGGAAACCGUGAAACGUGCCGCCUGGGAAGUACGGUCGCAAGGCUGAAACUUAAAGGAAUUGGCGGGGGAGCACCGCAACGGGAGGAGCGUGCGGUUUAAUUGGAUUCAACACCGUAAAACUCACCAGGGAAGACUGUUACAUGAAGGCCGAGAUGAAGACUCUGCUAGAUUUUCAGAGAGGAGGUGCAUGGGCGUCAGUGACU